UAAUAGUACCGAAGUUCCUGAUGUCACACUGCCGAGAAAAGCUUCUAGUGAGAAAACAACGACCCGUACCGCAAACCGACACAGGUAGUCGAGGAGAGAAUCCUAAGGUGAGCGAGAGAACUCUCGUUAAGGAACUCGGCAAAAUGACCCCGUAACUUCGGGAGAAGGGGUGCUGAUCUAAGAUCAGCCGCAGUGAAUAGGCCCAAGCGACUGUUUAUCAAAAACACAGGUCUCUGCAAAAUCGUAAGAUGAAGUAUAGGGGCUGACGCCUGCCCGGUGCUGGAAGGUUAAGAGGAGUGCUUAGCGUAUGCGAAGGUACGAAUUGAAGCCCCAGUAAACGGCGGCCGUAACUAUAACGGUCCUAAGGUAGCGAAAUUCCUUGUCGGGUAAGUUCCGACCCGCACGAAAGGCGUAACGAUUUGGGCACUGUCUCAACGAGAGACUCGGUGAAAUUUUAGUACCUGUGAAGAUGCAGGUUACCCGCGACAGGACGGAAAGACCCCAUGGAGCUUUACUGUAGUUUGAUAUUGAGUGUCUGUACCGCAUGUACAGGAUAGGUAGGAGCCGUAGAAAUCGGAACGCUAGUUUCGAUGGAGGCGCUGGUGGGAUACUACCCCUGCGUUAUG
rnacentral:rRNA from 1 species